rnacentral:lncRNA from 1 species
CUCAUUUCAAUUUUAGCUCUCUCUCUCUUCGUCUCUCAUCUUACGCUCUCUCUCUUCGUCUCUCAUCUUUCGCCAGCUUCACGCCGCCGCCUCCGGAGAAGAAGCCCGCGGCGAAGAAAUGACCGGCGGCCGAGAAAGCUUCAAGCUUGCGAAGGAGGGGGCGUCGCCGACAAGAAGAAGCUUGCUCGCUGCUACCAGUAGCCGACACCUUUGGCCUCACUCCUUCCUCCAGCGCGCCGCCCUCCUCUAACACUCCGCUUUCCUCCAGCGCCGCCUCCAUCGUCGUCGACAUGGUCGGCCUCGCGGAGAAGAAGCCUCGUGGAUUUGGGGACGAAGGGAAGUCGACGGUGAGUUUGGGGAUUUAGGGCUCCGAUUUGGGGCUCCACCAUCUCCCACUGCCAUCGUCCUUCCACCGCCC